AUGGGCGCAAGCCUGAUCCAGCCAUACCGCGUGGGUGAAGAAGGCCUUCGGGUUGUAAAGCCCUUUUGUUGGGAAAGAAAUCCAGCUGGCUAAUACCCGGUUGGGAUGACGGUACCCAAAGAAUAAGCACCGGCUAACUUCGUGCCAGCAGCCGCGGUAAUACGAAGGGUGCAAGCGUUACUCGGAAUUACUGGGCGUAAAGCGUGCGUAGGUGGUCGUUUAAGUCCGUUGUGAAAGCCCUGGGCUCAACCUGGGAACUGCAGUGGAUACUGGACGACUAGAGUGUGGUAGAGGGUAGCGGAAUUCCUGGUGUAGCAGUGAAAUGCGUAGAGAUCAGGAGGAACAUCCAUGGCGAAGGCAGCUACCUGGACCAACACUGACACUGAGGCACGAAAGCGUGGGGAGCAAACAGGAUUAGAUACCCUGGUAGUCCACGCCCUAAACGAUGCGAACUGGAUGUUGGGUGCAAUUUGGCACGCAGUAUCGAAGCUAACGCGUUAAGUUCGCCGCCUGG
rnacentral:rRNA from 2 species